rnacentral:rRNA from 1 species
UGGGGAAUUUUCCGCAAUGGGCGAAAGCCUGACGGAGCAACGCCGCGUGGGUGACGAAGGAUUUCGGUCUGUAAAGCCCUUUCAGUCGGGACGAGACGAAGACGGUACCGACAGAAGAAGCAUCGGCUAACUACGUGCCAGCAGCCGCGGUAAUACGUAGGAUGCAAGCGUUAUCCGGAAUUAUUGGGCGUAAAGCGAACGUAGGCGGUUUCGUAAGUCUGGGGUUAAAGAUCAAGGCUCAACCUUGGGAGUGCCCUGGAAACUACGAGACUGGAGGACGGCAGAGGAAAGUGGAAUUCCCAGUGUAGCGGUGAAAUGCGUAGAGAUUGGGAGGAACACCAGUGGCGAAAGCGACUUUCUGGGCCGUUCCUGACGCUGAGGUUCGAAAGCCAGGGGAGCAAACGGGAUUAGAUACCCGCGUAGUCC